CGUUAGUCUAGGAGGCUUUAGCUUAAUUAAAGUGUCUGAGUUGCAUUCAGGGGAUGUAUAAUAAAAUUAUACAAGUCUU
rnacentral:tRNA from 1 species